UGGUGGGUAGUUUGACUGGGGCGGUCUCCUCCUAAAGAGUAACGGAGGAGCACGAAGGUUGGCUAAUCCUGGUCGGACAUCAGGAGGUUAGUGCAAUGGCAUAAGCCAGCUUGACUGCGAGCGUGACGGCGCGAGCAGGUGCGAAAGCAGGUCAUAGUGAUCCGGUGGUUCUGAAUGGAAGGGCCAUCGCUCAACGGAUAAAAGGUACUCCGGGGAUAACAGGCUGAUACCGCCCAAGAGUUCAUAUCGACGGCGGUGUUUGGCACCUCGAUGUCGGCUCAUCACAUCCUGGGGCUGAAGUAGGUCCCAAGGGUAUGGCUGUUCGCCAUUUAAAGUGGUACGCGAGCUGGGUUUAGAACGUCGUGAGACAGUUCGGUCCCUAUCUGCCGUGGGCGCUGGAGAACUGAGGGGGGCUGCUCCUAGUACGAGAGGACCGGAGUGGACGCAUCACUGGUGUUCGGGUUGUCAUGCCAAUGGCACUGCCCGGUAGCUAAAUGCGGAAGAGAUAAGUGCUGAAAGCAUCUAAGCACGAAACUUGCCCCGAGAUGAGUUCUCCCUGAGACUUAAAGUCUCCUGAAGGAACGUUGAAGACGACGACGUUGAUAGGCCGGGUGUGUAAGCGCAGCGAUGCGUUGAGCUAACCGGUACUAAUGAACCGUGAGGCUUAACCUUACAACGCCGAAG
rnacentral:rRNA from 10 species